rnacentral:rRNA from 1 species
AGAGUUUGAUCCUGGCUCAGAUUGAACGCUGGCGGCAGGCCUAACACAUGCAAGUCGAGCGGUAACAUUUCUAGCUUGCUAGAAGAUGACGAGCGGCGGACGGGUGAGUAAUGCCUGGGAAUAUGCCUUGAUGUGGGGGAUAACCAUUGGAAACGAUGGCUAAUACCGCAUAAUCUCCGAUCUUUUACGAGAUGGGAGCAAAGAGGGGGACCUUUUGGCCUCUCGCGUCAAGAUUAGCCCAGGUGGGAUUAGCUAGUAGGUGAGGUAAAGGCUCACCUAGGCGACGAUCUCUAGCUGGUCUGAGAGGAUGAUCAGCCACACUGGAACUGAGACACGGUCCAGACUCCUACGGGAGGCAGCAGUGGGGAAUAUUGCACAAUGGGCGCAAGCCUGAUGCAGCCAUGCCGCGUGUGUGAAGAAGGCCUUCGGGUUGUAAAGCACUUUCAGUCGUGAGGAAGGUAGUGUAGUUAAUAGCUGCAUUAUUUGACGUUAGCGACAGAAGAAGCACCGGCUAACUCCGUGCCAGCAGCCGCGGUAAUACGGAGGGUGCGAGCGUUAAUCGGAAUUACUGGGCGUAAAGCGCAUGCAGGUGGUUUGUUAAGUCAGAUGUGAAAGCCCGGGGCUCAACCUUGGAAUUGCAUUUGAAACUGGCAGACUAGAGUACUGUAGAGGGGGGUAGAA